UGAGGUGGCCUUGCCAGCCUGAAUGCACCUGAUCUCAUCUCAUCCUAGAAGCUCAACAGUCGGGCCUGGAUUGUAUGUGGAGUACUGACUAUCUGGGUAAUUCCAGAUUUGAAUGGCACAUCGA
rnacentral:rRNA from 1 species